UGGGGGAAUUUUUGGACAAUGGGGCGAAAGCCUGAUCCAGCAAUGCCGCGUGUGUGAAGAAGGCCUUCGGGUUGUAAAGCACUUUUGUCCGGAAAGAAAUCCUCUGGGUUAAUACCUCGGGGGGAUGACGGUACCGGAAGAAUAAGCACCGGCUAACUACGUGCCAGCAGCCGCGGUAAUACGUAGGGUGCAAGCGUUAAUCGGAAUUACUGGGCGUAAAGCGUGCGCAGGCGGUUUUGUAAGACGGAUGUGAAAUCCCCGGGCUUAACCUGGGAACUGCAUUCGUGACUGCAAGGCUAGAGUAUGGCAGAGGGGGGUAGAAUUCCACGUGUGAGCAGUGAAAUGCGUAGAGAUGUGGAGGAAUACCGAUGGCGAAGGCAGCCCCUGGGCCAAUACUGACGCUCAUGCACGAAAGCGUGGGGA
rnacentral:rRNA from 1 species